rnacentral:rRNA from 1 species
GACGAACGCUGGCGGCGUGCCUAAUACAUGCAAGUCGAACGCUUUUUCUUUCACCGGAGCUUGCUCCACCGAAAGAAAAAGAGUGGCGAACGGGUGAGUAACACGUGGGUAACCUGCCCAUCAGAAGGGGAUAACACUUGGAAACAGGUGCUAAUACCGUAUAACACUAUUUUCCGCAUGGAAGAAAGUUGAAAGGCGCUUUUGCGUCACUGAGGGAUGGACCCGGGGUGCAUUAGCUAGUUGGUGAGGUAACGGCUCACCAAGGCAACGAUGCAUAGCCGACCUGAGAGGGUGAUCGGCCACACUGGGACUGAGACACGGCCCAGACUCCUACGGGAGGCAGCAGUAGGGAAUCUUCGGCAAUGGACGAAAGUCUGACCGAGCAACGCCGCGUGAGUGAAGAAGGUUUUCGGAUCGUAAAACUCUGUUGUUAGAGAAGAACAAGGAUGAGAGUAGAACGUUCAUCCCCUGACGGUAUCUAACCAGAAAGCCACGGCUAACUACGUGCCAGCAGCCGCGGUAA